CAGUAGCCACGGUAACACGAAGGGGGCUAGCGUUGCUCGGAAUGACUGGGCGUAAAGGGCGCGUAGGCGGCGAUCAAAGUCAGGCGUGAAAUUCCUGGGCUCAACCUGGGGGCUGCGCUUGAUACUUGGUUGCUUGAGUGGGGAAGAGGGUCGUGGAAUUCCCAGUGUAGAGGUGAAAUUCGUAGAUAUUGGGAAGAACACCGGUGGCGAAGGCGGCGACCUGGUCCUUGACUGACGCUGAGGCGCGAAAGCGUGGGGAGCAAACAGGAUUAGAUACCCCCGUAGUCCCUGUCUCUUAUAC
rnacentral:rRNA from 1 species